rnacentral:lncRNA from 1 species
GGCAAACAGAGGGGAAAGAGAGAGGGGAGGCUGGGCUUUAUAGGGAUGCGCGCGGCGGGUUUCGGGAUGGCCGGAAUCGGCGGGCGCGGUGAUGGCGGCGGCGACGGCGCGGCGCGGGUCGGCGGCGGAGAUCAUGGGCGGGCUUCCUUCGGGGACGAAGGAACUGACAGGUGGGCCCCACCUGUCAGUGGCUCGCGGCGGGCGUGCGUGCGCUGGGCCGGUCUGGCUCGGUCAGUUCGCACGGGACGGGGACGGUUCGGUCCGGUUUUCUCCUUUUUUUUCUAUUCUUUUUCCUUUUCUGUUUUUCUUUGAUAUCUUUUGAUUUUGAACUCCAAAUUGGUCCAAAUAAAUUUCAGAAAAUUUGUAAAAUCAUGUUUUAUCAUGAUUCAACUUUUGGAACAAAAUUCCCUUCAAAAUAAAUUAUAGAAAAAUACAUUUGCCCUAUAAAUGCCUUUAGGGCUAUAUAACUAUUUAAAUAAAAUAGUUUUUCAACUCCAAAUAAAUACCCAAAAAUAUGGGAUAGCUUAUUUAUGCAAUAAACCCCAUUUA